rnacentral:rRNA from 1 species
UACGUAGGGUGCGAGCGUUAAUCGGAAUUACUGGGCGUAAAGCGUGCGCAGGCGGUUCGUUAAGUCAGCUGUGAAAGCCCCGGGCUUAACCUGGGAAUUGCGGUUGAAACUGGCGAACUAGAAUCUGGCAGAGGGGGGUGGAAUUCCACGUGUAGCAGUGAAAUGCGCAGAUAUCAGGAAGAACACCCGUGGCGAAGACGGCUCUCUGGGACGGUACUGACGCUGAGACGCGAAAGCGUGGGGAGCGAACAGG